UUUUUUACUGUUUAUUCUUGAUGUACAUAUUUAUUAGAAUAUGCAUAAUCAUUCUGAUCUUUCUCGUGAUUAUUAUUUCAAAAAAUAUGGUGUUUUGUUUUAUUAUAUAUCAUGAUAUUAUUUAUUAUCUGUAAUUUCAUAUUCUUUAUAUUUCUUCAAUUUUAAUCAUCUCAUAAAGUAAAGAUAUUCAUCUGAUAUGAGAAAUACAUUCAUUUGUAUUGUUAUUCGGUUACCGAUACUUUUUCUAAUUUUAAAUAACUGAAUAAAAUAUCAAGAAUUCAAAAUGGAUUCGUGUUGAGGUGUGACAUGAAGGGAAAAAAAAUGAAAUAAUAUUUGUUUUUAUAUAAAAAACAUG